UAGGGAAUCUUCCGCAAUGAGCGAAAGCCUGACGGAGCAACGCCGCGUGAGUGAUGAAGGUCUUCGGAUCGUAAAACUCUGUUAUUAGGGAAGAACAAAUGUGUAAGUAACUAUGCACGUCUUGACGGUACCUAAUCAGAAAGCCACGGCUAACUACGUGCCAGCAGCCGCGGUAAUACGUAGGUGGCAAGCGUUAUCCGGAAUUAUGGGCGUAAAGCGCGCGUAGGCGGUUUUUUAAGUCUGAUGUGAAAGCCCACGGCUCAACCGUGGAGGGUCAUUGGAAACUGGAAAACUUGAGUGCAGAAGAGGAAAGUGGAAUUCCAUGUGUAGCGGUGAAAUGCGCAGAGAUAUGGAGGAACACCAGUGGCGAAGGCGACUUUCUGGUCUGUAACUGACGCUGAUGUGCGAAAGCGUGGGGAUCAAACAGG
rnacentral:rRNA from 1 species